ACUCCUACGGGAGGCAGCAGUGGGGAAUCUUGGACAAUGGGGGCAACCCUGAUCCAGCCAUGCCGCGUGAGUGAUGAAGGCCUUAGGGUCGUAAAGCUCUUUCGCCAGGGAUGAUAAUGACAGUACCUGGUAAAGAAACCCCGGCUAACUCCGUGCCAGCAGCCGCGGUAAUACGGAGGGGUUAGCGUUGUUCGGAAUUACUGGGGCGUAAAGCGCGCGUAGGCGGACCAGAAAGUUGGGGGUGAAAUCCCCGGGGGCUCAACCCCGGAACUGCCUCCAAAACUCCUGGUCUAGAGUUCGAGAGAGGUGAGUGGAAUUCCGAGUGUAGAGGUGAAAUUCGUAGAUAUUCGGAGGAACACCAGUGGCGAAGGCGGCUCACUGGCUCGAUACUGACGCUGAGGUGCGAAAAGUGUGGGGGAGCAAACAGGAUUAGAUACCCUGGUAGGAUAGCG
rnacentral:rRNA from 1 species